GGUAUUGUCCACAUUGGCCCUGGAAGCCUUCCUUCCCAGGGCAGCAUGCACCUUCAGAUGAUUCUAGAUUGUUCCUGAGAGCCAAAGAUCCUGCUGCCUCCGGAUCCAGCUGGAGCUACCAGAAUCCCACACCAGGAGCUCAGGUGAGAAACCUGCUGUGUGCAACCUGUUGGACACAGGCAUCCCACCUCACCAGACCCAAAGAAGCUGGUAACCAAUGCACGAUGAACUCGCUUCACAGAAUGGUUUCCAUGUUUCCCACUGACCAAAGUCACCUGGAAGCCAGAGGGCAGGAAGACCACUGAGGUGUCUUUACAAGCAUGCACACCCUGGGACACAGAGCCAGAGAGUUUGUAUCCAGAGGGUUUGUAUCCAGAGCUAUAAGAUGCUCAGAGAAAUUAGUAAUGGUAGCAACAACAAAAACAAAACCCACGAAGAACUGAAUUUUAAAAUUUCCACAGGAUCUCAACAGACUUUUUUUUCAAAUAAAGAAAUGCAG